UGAGUACGAGAUGCUACGGCAUCGAAGCAGUCUAUGUCAUACUUCCAAGAAAAGCUUGCACUGUCAUAAACAAAGAAUGCCUGUACCAUAACCGACACAGGUGGGUAGGUAGAGUAUACUAAGGGGCGCGAGAUAACUCUCUCUAAGGAACUCGGCAAAAUGACUCCGUAACUUCGGGAGAAGGAGUGCCUUAUUUCUAAGGUUGCAAUAACAAGAUCCAAGCAACUGUUUACCAAAAACACAGGUCUCCGCUAAGUCGUAAGACGAUGUAUGGGGGCUGACGCCUGCCCAGUGCCAGAAGGUUAAAGAAGUUGGUUAGCAUUAGCGAAGCUGAUAACUGAAGCCCUGGUGAACGGCGGCCGUAACAAUAACGGUCCUAAGGUAGCGAAAUUCCUUGUCGGGUAAGUUCCGACCCGCACGAAAGGCGUAAUGAUUUGGAUACUGUCUCGGAGAGGGGCUCGGUGAAAUAGACUUGUCUGUGAAGAUGCGGACUACCUGCACCUGGACAGAAAGACCCUAUGAAGCUUUACUGUAACUUGAGAUUGAAAUUGGACUUUAUUUGCGCAGUAUAGGUGGGAGGCGUUGAGAAUAAUCUUGCGGGAUUGUUGGAGCCAUCAGUGAGAUACCACUCUUGUAAUGUUAGAUUUCUAACUUUGUAUCAUUAUCUGGUCAAAGAACAGUUUCAGGCGGGCAGUUUGACUGGGGCGGUCGCCUCCCAAAGGGUAACGGAGGCGCACAAAGGUUUCCUCUGAACGGGUAGAAAUCGUAUCUAGAGUGUAAAGGCAUAAGGAAGCUUGACUGUGAGACCUACAAGUCGAGCAGGGACGAAAGUCGGUCUUAGUGAUCUGACGGUGCUGAGUGGAAAGGCCGUCACUCAACGGAUAAAAGUUACUCUAGGAUAACAGGCUGAUCUCCCCCAAGAGUUCACAUCGACGGGGAGGUUUGGCACCUCGAUGUCGGCUCAUCGCAUCCUGGGGCGGUAGUCCGUCCCAAGGGUCGGGCUGUUCGCCCAUGAAAGCGGUACGCGAGCUGGGUUCAGAACGUCGUGAGACAGUUCGGUCCAUAUCCGGUGUAGGCGUUAGAAUAUUGAGAGGAGCCUUCUCUAGUACGAGAGGACCGAGAAGGACAUACCUCUGGUGUACCAGUUAUCGUGCCAACGGUAAACGCUGGGUAGCUAUGUAUGGAGUGGAUAACCGCUGAAAGCAUCUAAGUGGGAAGCCCACCUCAAGAUAAGUAUUCUCAUC
rnacentral:rRNA from 1 species